rnacentral:rRNA from 1 species
GACGAACGCUGGCGGCGUGCUUAACACAUGCAAGUCGAACGGUGAAGCGCCUUCCUUUUUGGUGGGUGUGGAUGAGUGGCGAACGGGUGAGUAACACGUGAGUAACCUGCCCCCUUCUUCUGGAUAACCGCAUGAAAGUGUGGCUAAUACGGGAUAUUCUGGGUCUGUCGCAUGAUGGGUCUGGGAAAGAUAUUGUUUCGGUGGGGGAUGGGCUCGCGGCCUAUCAGCUUGUUGGUGGGGUGAUGGCCUACCAAGGCGGUGACGGGUAGCCGGCCUGAGAGGGUGGACGGUCACACUGGGACUGAGACACGGCCCAGUCUCCUACGGGAGGCAGCAGUGGGGAAUAUUGCACAAUGGGCGCAAGCCUGAUGCAGCGACGCCGCGUGAGGGAUGGAGGCCUGCGGGUUGUGAACCUCUUUCGCCAGUGAAGCAGGCCUGCCUCGUUUGUGGGUGGGUUGACGGUAGCUGGAGAAGAAGCGCCGGCUAACUACGUG